GUCGCGUCCCGGCGUACUCUAGCUAUGGGGUGGGUCUUAAGGACUUUCAAACCAAAAUAAACCGGAGAGUCAUGAAAAAAAAAUCAGUACCAGUAAUAACAAGAUACCUGUGGAUUCCUCCUUGAAUAGAAUUUUAAUAUCAUGGGAUCAGGAGGCGAUACUUUUGUUGCUUCCUACAUACAAGAAUUACAGAAGAGACUGAAAGAAUUCCAUGACACAGGAGCUGCAUUAAAAAUCCCCAGCAAACCAGCAGAACUCAGCUCUCCUGUUGGGAGGCCUGUUCCAAAGUGUUGCUGACUAUCACUACUGCAAUGGAGAUCGGAGAGAGGGAGGCUUGGAUCCACUAUUCUCAAGAAAAACCUGCUCCCUAUUUAGAUUCAUAAUGCAUUUUGUGAUUUACUUUAUGUCGCUUAUAUUUUCAACUACUAACAAUUUUACUCAGUCUGUUAACUCUUCCUUAGAGAAUGAAGAAGCAAUAAGCACCCAUCUUUCUGAAUAUUCUACAUAUUCAGAAAGAUGGAAGUUUUUUAUUUUAGCACUUGUUCUAUGUGUCAUAUUUUUAGUCAUUUUCAUUGUGACAAGAGAUAUUGGUACUCCUUGUUAUAUUGUUUUGAUUCUGAUAUUUUUUCCUGUUGCUCUUUUCUCUCCAGUUAACUCCUCUCAAGAGGAUUUGAGAGUGGAAAACCCAGGCAAUAAUCUGCUUGCUUCUUGGGAAUUUUUGGUGUUUAUAUAGAAAAUUAGAAUCCUUUUACCUGGUCUGUAUGCUUAUACCAUUUACUUUAUGCCUAAAUAUUAUUGUUUAUCUCUUGUGUAACUCUAGGUUUUCUUGUUAUUUAGUUUUACUAUUAUCUGCUAGGUUCUCCUCCCCAUCUAUACCUUUCAGGAAGAUUGGAAAAAACUCAAUGCUGUUAAAUUACACAGUGAAGCAGGACAAACUAUAGCACUUGAAAAUUAAUGGGCCUCAUGGAUAUUAGAUAUGUCAUAUAUAUGACAUGGGGGGGCCCCAAUUCCUGGGAAGCCAUCCCCCAUUACAGAGAAUGAUACUUUGCUAUAAUCAAGAUGUAGUUAAAUCGCACUGUUUAUUGGAAGUUUUUCAGUUGUGGCUUCAGUGCAGUAAUUUGUGUGCCUCUAAUAGGAAGAUCCUAAAUUGGGCUGACCUCAGAUCAAUGAUCCUUAUCCCCUAAGAAGUGCUCACGUUUAAGAUCAGCCUCUGGUAGCCAGGGUUGUUUGUGUUACUAUUAAUAUGCUUCUAACCUGAGAUUCUGGUCACUAUAAUACCAGUGACUUUGGCAAAGUAAUCAAUUGUAACCACAGCAUUACUUUCCCUGAUAUAAACGGGAGAUUUUUUCAUUUGUGCCAGAGUUUGUUUUUACAACAGUUAUGCAGAUUGUAAAUCCAAGCAAAUCUCACCAGAAACAGUUUAGGUCAGAUUAGAUUUGACAGCACUUAGACUGGACAAAGCUUAGAUACCACCAAUCUUCUAUGGAAUUUAGCAUUCCCUGGUAAUUUUUCAUCUGCAGAAAUAAAACUUAUUCCUCUUCCCCCAAAUUAUUUUGGAAUUUGUGGGAUCACUUAUUUAGCCCUAGCAGUCUCAGUCUUUAACCAUACUACAGGAUUGGUGGGAAGAAGCACUAGAAAUUUUAAUGUGUGGUGGUAUGGCUGUGAAAAAAGAAAAAGUUAAUGAGUAAUCCUGCAAAAGAAAAUGGGCUAGAGAAGAAGAUUCUUUGGAGUGUCAGCAUUAGAUCAGGUCCCUCGAAAUUUAAUCACUUGGAAUUGAGAAACUUGUCCAUGCUACUAGUGAAUUCCUCCCUCCAAAUGAAGGUUGAUUUCUUAACACAAUUAGUUUUAUAAAAUCUCAUGGUUCUUGAUCUUAUUACAUUAUCACUAGGAGGGGUCUCUGUAUGAUUAAUCAUUCCUUCUUGUUCUGAUGUUAAUCUGUAAAUAGACACUGUAAUCAACCUUCAUGAAAUUCAACCCUUUACAGAAAAAACACAAUUUCCUGACCCAAAAGAUCGUUGGUGGAAUCUCUCCCUCUAGCUUACUUGGUUACAGAAUAAUGCAUUAUUCAACAUCAAAGGCAAAUGGGCUCUUUUUUUCUUUUCAAGUUUAAUUUUUAUUUUUCUCUUACGGAUCAAUUGUUGCCCUAUGCUGUGAGACAGUGACACCUAGUGGUCUUUUCUUUUUAGACAAUUCUAAUUCUGAUCCUGAGCAUUUGAUAAACCUUGAUUUGUUUUGGCUCAUAAAUAAGUGAUUAAUGGGGGAGUGGACUGGAUCCUCCCCCCUUAAUCAAGACUGGAGAAUUGAUGAACUAAAAUGAAGAUCACUUACAAAAUAGAAUUGCUUCAGUGGGGAAUGAAAAGAACCCAUCAGAGUCUUAUCUUAUGAGCAUCUAGUGCUGCCUCUUGUAUUUGCCUCUUUUUCUGUUAUUCAUCUAUGGGCAGCUAGAUUAUAUGUCAUCUGUUGUUUCAUGCAUUCAGGUAGCUGCCAUUAAUCAAUAUCUUUUCAUUUUAUAUAUAGAAGUUUCUGAAAUGUACUGGUUCUUGAUCCCCUCCUCCCAAAUAGGAAAGCCUCUGAUUAGAAAUCACAUUAUCUAAUUUUGUAUACUGGUUAAUGUUAUUAUAAUCAAUUAGUCUUAUUUGUUUUUUAUGUCUAAAAAUUUCCUUCACUCUGUAUUCAGGAUCUUUGGACCUAUGGGCGAAUCCACUAACUCAUUCCUUCUGACUGCCUAAGCAGUAAAUUUCUUUUGCUCAGAUUGUUUCCUCAGUUGCUAUUCGUUAUCCACCACACUUUCAAAGUUUUAUUUACAAACUCCUCAGUUAAAAAUUCGCCUCUCUAUAAGUAAAAUCAAUAAACUUUGUUAACUAUAAGCUAUUACUGAUACUCUUACCAGUGUCAAUAAAAAGCCCAUGGUCAUUCGUUAGAAAUAAAAUCUAUG